GACGAACGCUGGCGGCGUGCUUAACACAUGCAAGUCGAACGGAAAGGCCCUGCUUUUGUGGGGUGCUCGAGUGGCGAACGGGUGAGUAACACGUGAGUAACCUGCCCUUGACUUUGGGAUAACUUCAGGAAACUGGGGCUAAUACCGGAUAGGAGCUCCUGCUGCAUGGUGGGGGUUGGAAAGUUUCGGCGGUUGGGGAUGGACUCGCGGCUUAUCAGCUUGUUGGUGGGGUAGUGGCUUACCAAGGCUUUGACGGAUAGCCGGCCUGAGAGGGUGAACGGCGACAUUGGGACUGAGAUACGGACCAGACUCCUACGGGAGGCAGCAGUGGAGAAUAUUGCCCAAUGGGCGGAAGCCUGAUGCAGCAACGCCGCGUGCGGGAUGAAGGCCUUCGGGUUGUAAACCGCUUUCGCCUGUGACGAAGCGUGAGUGACGGUAAUGGGUAAAGAAGCACCGGCUAACUACGUG
rnacentral:rRNA from 1 species